rnacentral:rRNA from 1 species
AUGAAUGCUGGCGGCGUGCUUAACACAUGCAAGUCGAGCGAGAGAGUCUCUUCGGAGACAAUCUAGCGGCGGACGGGUGAGUAACACGUGGGCAACCUGCCUUGUAGUGGGGGAUAGCCCUCCGAAAGGAGGAUUAAUACCGCAUAAYAUUGCUUUAAGGCAUCUUAGAGCAAUCAAAGGAGUAAUCCGCUACAAGAUGGGCCCGCGGCGCAUUAGCUAGUUGGUGGGGUAAUGGCCUACCAAGGCGACGAUGCGUAGCCGACCUGAGAGGGUGAUCGGCCACAUUGGGACUGAGACACGGCCCAGACUCCUACGGGAGGCAGCAGUGGGGAAUAUUGCACAAUGGGGGAAACCCUGAUGCAGCAACGCCGCGUGAGUGAUGAAGGUCUUCGGAUUGUAAAGCUCUGUCUUCGGGGACGAUAAUGACGGUACCCGAGGAGGAAGCCACGGCUAACUAC